GACGAACGCUGGCGGCGUGCUUAACACAUGCAAGUCGAACGGAAAGGCCCUGCUUUUGUGGGGUGCUCGAGUGGCGAACGGGUGAGUAACACGUGAGUAACCUGCCCUUGACUUUGGGAUAACUUCAGGAAACUGGGGCUAAUACCGGAUAGGAGCUCCUGCUGCAUGGUGGGGGUUGGAAAGUUUCGGCGGUGGGGGAUGGACUCGCGGCUUAUCAGCUUGUUGGUGGGGUAGUGGCUUACCAAGGCUUUGACGGGUAGCCGGCCUGAGAGGGUGACCGGGCACAUUGGGACUGAGAUACGGACCAGACUCCUACGGGAGGCAGCAGUGGGGAAUAUUGCACAAUGGGCGGAAGCCUGAUGCAGCAACGCCGCGUGCGGGAUGACGGCCUUCGGGUUGUAAACCGCUUUCGCCUGUGACGAAGCGUGAGUGACGGUAAUGGGUAAAGAAGCACCGGCUAACUACGUG
rnacentral:rRNA from 1 species